AUAAUACUCCCUCCGUUCGGAAUUACUUGUCGCAGAAAUGGAUGUAUCUAGACGUAUUUUAGUUCUAGAUACAUCCAUUUCCGAGACAAGUAAUUCCGAACGGAGGGAGUAAGAG
rnacentral:pre_miRNA from 1 species